CCCCCACCACAUCCCGGAGGGUCGGGACUGCCCGCGGCUGACAGGUGUCCGCCUGGGGGGCGGCACGGGGUUUGCAGCCCAGCUGCAACUUUAUUACACCACCCCAGCAAGACACAGCAGAGAAGAGAAAAUGAAGAGACGGAAAGGUGGUUAUGCCUUGGAGGAAGACAUGAACUGAUUGUUAGGGAUAGCGUAGUAAUCACAGAAAAUAACGUGGUGAGAGGGGAUUUAACCUGAAAAUUGGUAAGCAAAAUACAGCACCAUUAGGCCUCUAAGGAGUAUAUUGGUGCUUGACUGUCCUCUUAGUUAUCAGCGACAUUCAUGAUUACAAAUAAUCUUGGCAUGUAAAAGCAUCACUGGAAUGUGCCAGUGAUAAUGUGUUAAAUAAUAAAAUGUUUUAAAUGUUA